GCGGGCGUGGCGAAACCAGGUAUACGCGGCAGGUUUAGGUCCUGUUGGUGGAGACACCGUGGGGGUUCGAAUCCCCCCGCCCGCACCC
rnacentral:tRNA from 2 species